CAUGCUAGACGAGUUGAUCAUGGCUCAGAAUCAACGCUGGCGGCGUGCCUCAGACAUGCAAGUCGAACGAUUAAGACUUCCUUCGGGAAGUGCAUAAAGUGGCGCACGGGUGAGUAACACGUAAGUAAUCUACCCUCGAGUGGGGAAUAACGUUCGGAAACGGACGCUAAUACCGCAUAACGCAGCGGCACCGCAAGGUGACAGUUGUUAAAGGAGCAAUCCGCUUGAGGAGGAGCUUGCGGCAGAUUAGCUAGUUGGUAAGGUAAUGGCUUACCAAGGCUACGAUCUGUAUCCGGUCUAAGAGGACGGUCGGACACACUGACACUGAAUAACGGGUCAGACUCCUACGGGAGGCAGCAGUCGGGAAUUUUGGGCAAUGGGCGAAAGCCUGACCCAGCAACGCCGCGUGAAGGAUGAAGUAUUUCGGUAUGUAAACUUCGAAAGAAUAGGAAGAAUAAAUGACGGUACUAUUUAUAAGCUCCGGCUAACUACGUG
rnacentral:rRNA from 1 species